AUGCCCGUGCUCACCCAGAACCUGCAGUUCCAAAAGCUGCAGCAGUGGCACCAUGAGCACAGCUCUGAGCCCAACCUACACUGCCUGUUCGAAGCCAACAAAGAACGCUUCAACCACUUCAGCUUGACUCUCAACACCAACCAUGGGCAUAUCCUUUGGAUUACUCCAAGAACCUUGUGACAGAGGAGGUCAUGAAGAUGCUGGUGGAACUGGCCAAGUCCAAGGGUGUGGAGGGUGCCUGGGAGCGCAUGCUCAACAGUGAGAAGAUCAACUACACCGAGGCUCGGGCAGUAUUGCAUGUGGCCCUUCAAAACCAGUUAAAUACACCUAUGCUGGGGGAUGGCAAGGAUGUGAUGCCAGAGAUCAUCAAGGUUCUGGACAAGGUGAAAUCUGCUAACUGACCUGGGACCCCUCAUGUGACGGAAGCACUUAAGCCAUACUCUUCAGGAGGUCCCCAGGUGUGUUUUGUCUCCAACAUUGAUGGAACCCACAUUACCAAAACCCUGGCCAACUUGAACCUUGAGACUUCUGUUUAUCACCGCCUCCAAGACCUUUACCACCCAGGAGACCAUCACCAAAGCAGAGAUGGCCAAGGAGUGGUUCCUCGUGUCUGCCAAGGAUGCUUCUGCAGUGGCAAAGCACUUUGUUGCCCUCUCUACCAACAUGGCCAAAGUGAAGGAGUUUGGAAUUGACCCUCAAAACUUAUUCAAAGUCUGGGAUUGGGUAGGUGGCCACUACUCACUGGGGUCAGCCAUUAGACUCUCCUUUGUGCUGCAUGUGGGUUUUGACAACUGUGAGCAGCUGCUCUCAGGAGCUCACUGGAUGGACCAGCACUUCCAGACAGUGCCUCUGGAAAAGAACGCCCCUGUCCUCCUGGAGCUGCUGGGCAUCUGGUACAUCAACUGCUUUGGCUGUGAGACACAGGCCUUGCUGCCCUAUGACCAGUACCUGCACUGUUUUCCUGCCUACUUCCAGCAGGGUGACUUGGAGUCCAACGGGAAGUACAUCACCAAGCCGGGCAUCUUUGUGAAACACCAGAUGGGCCCUAUCAUGUGGGAGGAGCCAGGGAUCAAUGGCCAGCACACAUUCUACCAGCUCAUCCACCAAGGCACCAAGAUGAUACCCUGUGACUUUCUCAUCCUGGUUCGGACCCAACACCCAAUAUGGAAGGGUCUACAUCACAAAGUCCUGCUGGCCAACUUCUUAGCCCAGACAGAAGCCCUGAUGAAGGGAAAAUCAUCCGAGGAGGUCCGAAAGGAGCUCCAGGCUGCUGGCAAGAGUCCAGGGGAUCUUGAGAAGCUGUUGCCACACAAGGUCUGCAAAGGAAAUUACCCAGCAAAUUCUAUUGUGUUCACCAAGCUGACACUAUUCAUGCUGGGAGCCUUGACUGUGCUGUACAAGCACAAGACUUUUGUGCAGGGCGUCAUCCGGGACAUCAACAGCUUUGACCAGUGGGGAGUGAAACUGGGAAAGCAGCUUGCUAAGAAGAUUGACCCUGAGCUUGAUGGCAGUGCUGCCGUGACCUCUCAUGAUUCUUCCACCAAUGGGUUGAUUAACUUCAAACAGCAGGAGGCCAGAACUGAAUAA